GAUGAACGCUGGCGGCGUGCCUAAUACAUGCAAGUCGAGCGAACGGACGAGAAGCUUGCUUCUCUGAUGUUAGCGGCGGACGGGUGAGUAACACGUGGAUAACCUACCUAUAAGACUGGGAUAACUUCGGGAAACCGGAGCUAAUACCGGAUAAUAUUUUGAACCGCAUGGUUCAAUAGUGAAAGACGGUCUUGCUGUCACUUAUAGAUGGAUCCGCGCUGCAUUAGCUAGUUGGUAAGGUAACGGCUUACCAAGGCAACGAUGCAUAGCCGACCUGAGAGGGUGAUCGGCCACACUGGAACUGAGACACGGUCCAGACUCCUACGGGAGGCAGCAGUAGGGAAUCUUCCGCAAUGGGCGAAAGCCUGACGGAGCAACGCCGCGUGAGUGAUGAAGGUCUUCGGAUCGUAAAACUCUGUUAUUAGGGAAGAACAUAUGUGUAAGUAACUGUGCACAUCUUGACAGUACCUAAUCAGAAAGCCACGGCUAACUACGUG
rnacentral:rRNA from 1 species